GAUGAACGCUAGCGGGAGGCCUAACACAUGCAAGCCGAGCGGUAUUGUUUCUUCGGAAAUGAGAGAGCGGCGUACGGGUGCGUAACACGUGUGCAACCUGCCUUUAUCUGGGGGAUAGCCUUUCGAAAGGAAGAUUAAUACUCCAUAAUAUAUUGAACGGCAUCGUUUAAUAUUGAAAGCUCCGGCGGAUAGAGAUGGGCACGCGCAAGAUUAGCUAGUUGGUGAGGUAACGGCUCACCAAGGCGAUGAUCUUUAGGGGGCCUGAGAGGGUGAUCCCCCACACUGGUACUGAGACACGGACCAGACUCCUACGGGAGGCAGCAGUGAGGAAUAUUGGUCAAUGGGUGCAAGCCUGAACCAGCCAUCCCGCGUGAAGGACGACUGCCCUAUGGGUUGUAAACUUCUUUUGUAUAGGGAUAAACCUACCCUCGAGAGGGUAGCUGAAGGUACUAUACGAAUAGGCACCGGCUAACUCCGU
rnacentral:rRNA from 1 species